AUAUUGCACAAUGGACGCAAGUCUGAUGCAGCAACGCCGCGUGGAGGAUGAAGGUCUUUGGAUUGUAAACUCCUUUUUUCAGGGAAGAGUGAGGACGGUACCUGAAGAAUAAGUCACGGCUAACUACGUGCCAGCAGCCGCGGUAAUACGUAGGUGGCAAGCGUUAUCCGGAAUUACUGGGCGUAAAGGGCGCGUAGGCGGAUAUUUAAGUCAGGGGUGAAAGCCCGGGGCUCAACCUCGGAAUUGCCUUUGAUACUGGAUAUCUUGAGUUCGGGAGAGGUGAGUGGAAUGCCGAGUGUAGAGGUGAAAUUCGUAGAUAUUCGGCGGAACACCAGUGGCGAAGGCGACUCACUGGCCCGAUACUGACGCUGAGGCGCGAAAGCGUGGGGAGCAAACAGG
rnacentral:rRNA from 1 species